AGUGAGGUCACACAGUAUGGCGGCUCGGGGCAGAAGGUGCUGACGCGUCGGUACUAUCUGGAAUCCGCGUCCAUCCUUCUCGGGAGUUGCGGCGACGGUGCUGCCUGCCUCGCUAUCGCUGAGCAGCAGGACUAAGGCCGCGAUGGCAUCAGGAACCGCAGGGCUGUGAGGCAGCAGAGCGCGAGCCUGCAGGGCGGGCGGAGCAACAGAACCGGGUCGCGGACGAACCGAGCUGACGCCAUGGAGCUGAGGGUUGGGAACCGGUACCGGCUGGGCCGGAAGAUCGGGAGCGGCUCCUUCGGUGACAUCUACCUGGGAACUGAUAUUGCUGCUGGAGAGGAGGUUGCAAUUAAGUUAGAAUGUGUGAAAACCAAACAUCCUCAGCUCCACAUUGAGAGUAAAAUCUACAAAAUGAUGCAGGGUGGAGUGGGUAUUCCCACAAUUAAGUGGUGUGGAGCUGAAGGGGACUACAAUGUCAUGGUGAUGGAGCUGCUGGGGCCGAGUCUUGAAGAUCUCUUCAAUUUUUGUUCAAGGAAAUUUAGUCUCAAGACAGUCUUGUUACUUGCUGACCAAAUGAUUAGUCGAAUUGAGUAUAUUCACUCUAAGAAUUUCAUCCACCGAGAUGUGAAACCAGAUAACUUCUUAAUGGGCCUGGGGAAGAAAGGAAAUCUUGUCUACAUAAUAGACUUUGGAUUAGCAAAGAAGUAUCGAGAUGCUCGAACUCACCAACACAUCCCGUAUCGUGAAAAUAAAAACUUAACAGGAACUGCUCGUUAUGCAUCCAUCAACACUCAUCUUGGAAUUGAGCAAUCUCGCAGAGAUGACUUGGAGUCCUUGGGCUAUGUACUGAUGUAUUUUAACCUGGGCUCCCUCCCCUGGCAGGGACUGAAAGCAGCAACAAAGAGGCAGAAAUAUGAACGUAUCAGUGAAAAGAAAAUGUCUACACCCAUUGAGGUUUUGUGUAAAGGAUAUCCUUCUGAAUUUGCCACAUACUUGAAUUUCUGCCGUUCUCUGCGUUUUGAUGACAAACCGGACUACUCCUAUCUAAGGCAAUUAUUCAGAAACCUCUUUCACCGACAAGGGUUCUCCUAUGACUAUGUGUUUGACUGGAACAUGCUGAAAUUUGGUGCAAGCAGAGCGACUGAAGAUGCUGAACGUGAAAGGAGAGAACGAGAGGAAAGAUUGAGACAUACACGAAAUCCAGCUGUUCGUGGACUACCCUCCACUGCUUCUGGCAGGCUGAGGGGAAUGCAAGAUGUAGCUCCUCCUACUCCUCUUACCCCAGCUUCACAUGCUGCCAACACUUCUCCUCGACCAGUGUCUGGUAUGGAACGAGAAAGGAAAGUGAGUAUGAGAUUGCAUCGUGGUGCCCCAGUCAAUGUCUCAUCAUCUGAUUUAACAGGCCGACAAGAUACUUCUCGCAUGUCAACUUCGCAGAAUAGCAUUCCUUUCGAACACCAUGGCAAGUAGCUGCUCGUCUCCUUUCGUUGGAAGGCAGCACUGGGUGAAUUUUCCAUGUUAACUUCUAAUAGAGGAGGAAAAUACAGGGAACUUCGUGUAGCUAAAGAUUCCUGCUCGGGUAACUACCAGUGUUCUUCAGUCCACUGUGCACCGAUGAAAAUUUAUUUUGCCAUGGAGGGCAGAUAAUGCAUGGCUGAUCUCCUAUGUUAUCAAUGGCUUUACUAGCAAAAAUACCCUAAACUAGAGUGGAAACAAUACAACUGGAGUUCUCCAUGUGACUUAAAAGGCACUUGGAGGAACAUGGACAGACUCCAGCAGCUGCCAUUACAGGACGCUUUUGCCAGAAACCCAGUGACCUUAAGAGAACCCUGUGGUAACAGGGCUGGAAAAGAAAGAUGGUUUACAGAGUUGACCGCCUGUUACUGGAUGGCCAUUUCAGUUUUCCCUUCACAGGCGGCAGACUUUAUCCCCUUUUUAUUAUUCUACUGUAACUAUAAAUCUUUUACUUGGUUUAAGAAAGUUUUUGUAUCAUUUUGCUAAAAUUAUUGGGUUAAUUCUCUGUAAAGAACUCUUGCUUUUCUCUGAUUUAAAAAUGUAGAAUAUAAACAGUCCUAAACUAAAGACAAUGACUUGAAAUUUUUUGUUUAAAAAACUUAGUCUGGCAGGGAGCAUGUAAAUGAAUCAAAAUCAUCUGACUGUAUUUAAACUGUUCACUUAUUUGUAUGGUCUUAUUCUGACUGAGAAGUUUUUCUCACAAAAUUUUUAAAACUGUUAAGCGUUUUACUUUACUGUUUGCCGUCUUCAUUCAUACUAAACAUUUCCAUGUAUUACAGAGGAAUUUUUAAUAUUCAUUCUUUUGCAUAAAAGAGGAAUCAAGACCCUGUAGAGAAUCAAAGUAUAGUAUAGAUGGUAAAAAUUGAUAUAUUUCUUUCUCAUUUUUUUUGUAAAGUAUAUGAAGAACAAAGUGAAAGACACUGGCAUUUAAAUGGAUUGUUUCAAAUACUGUUUUUAUUGGUAAAAUUUUGUUUCCUGCAUUCUGAGGCUGGUUAGCUUGGAGGGUACUAUAAGUGGACAAUGCAUGUUGCCACUGAGUCUUUAGUGAAUUUGCACAUUUAAUUCAGCAUCUACAUGUUCAAAAAAAAAAAAAAAGUAAUGAUGAUGAUUCGGGCCUUCUGUUUCAUGCCAAGAUUCAAAAAAAUGAAUUAUAAAAAAAAAAAAAAAAAAUGAAAAAGUGUUCUUGCUAUGAAAUCCAGAAAACUUUUAAAACUCAGGUGCAUACCAUAUUUAUUCCUGACUGUAUUCCACGUGAGUACUUCCAGAGUCAUUAGCCAUUAGCUUAAGAACGAAUGACUCAUGUUGUCCAAAAGAAUGUUCGAGGUGGUGUUAGCAAAUGUCCACAUGGAAUAUGGGAAAUACUUUGUAUUUUUUGUUACUGUAGACAGUUUCAUAAACUAAAAAUAGUUAUGUUGUCCAUGUAGUAAUUGGACUGCUAUCAGAAAUACUGUUUACGCUAGUAUCAAAGAAGUAAUGUGAAGUUCUGUGUUGGAAAUGAAAGUACGUAUGCAGAGUUUGCUUGAACAGUUAGUUGUUUUGAGAAAUUCCUCCUUGCUUAAAAACAAAAUUUUAAAGGAUUGCUGGUCUUAAGAGUAAUUUGAAGAGUAAUUUUUAUUGUUUCAAGGUUUGCAGACUCCUCCUUCCCCAAAGAAAAAAGUCCACAUACUAGAUAUCAGUCAUUUUUCUUUGGAUGUCUUUGUGACAUUAAGUAUUUGCUUGUGUGUACUCUGGAUCGGACAGGGGAAACUUGUCUUGGAGAAUACAGUUGAAGAGGUUAAGAGUUUAAUCCAUGGAUAAGUUUGCAAUAGAGAAUUAUUUCCUCAGUCACUAUAAACUUCAGUAUUUUAGGCAUGUGCACUACCAUUUGAACAGUUCUACACUUCACUGUGCUUUCCUUGUAAAUAUCUGUGGUUAAUAAUGUACUGUUAGAGGGACUUACAAAGGCUGCCUCUUUAUUCUCUCUGUAUCUGGAACAUUAGAUUGCUGUGCUAUACUUAAAAGUUGAUUGCAGACUUCUAGAAUUGUACUCAGUUGUGGGCAAUUUUUGUCCUUCAUAAUAGUUAAAAUUCCAUCAUGUGGAAAAUAGUUAGACUGUCUGUAUAAACCUGUGUAUUGGAAACCAGUAUCUCAGAGCACUUCAUUUGUACUACCACUGUAUUUGUGUACUUUAACGAUUGUGUAAAUACAUUCAUAAUGACUUCUGUUCUUCUUUGGUGUAACUUACUUACAAUGACUCUUUACUUGGUGUAAAUUUUGUAUUAUUAUUUUUGUAAUGGGUUUCUGUACAUAUAAAGAACAUUGUCAAUUCCAAACAUUUAAAGAAGUGGUGACAGGAUUUAAGUAGUCAUGGUUAGAUUGCAGCAGCUAGGGUAUGCAGGAAAAAAGAGAGGACGUUAAUUGCUUUGCUCACAAAGAACAUGUCUUUUGUCUCUAUAAAGGUAAAUGUUUUUCUUUAGAUAUUACUUAUUUUGUGGGUCCUUUUUUUUAAAAAAAAAAAAAUCAUUUUUCAAGUAAUACAUGAGAGGAAGUAUGGAAAGAGAAUUGCUAUUGAGACUUGAUCUGUUGUUAGAGCUGGAAAAAAAAGCAAUAAGAAAUACUGAGCUCUAUAUACAAAGCCUUAUAUAAUAAAAUUACCGGCUUUUGGUAUGUAAUCCUCAAAAGUCUAUUCAAAAUCUGAUAGCACACAUACCUUCAAAAUUACUGUUUCUGAUUAGUAGGCCUUUAAAAGCUGGAAGGAUAUUUAUUUUAUCUUCACAUUUUUAUUUAAAACUGGCUAUGUGUUUUUAUGUGGGAAAUCUCACAUGUAAUGCAGUUCUACAGAAUCAUAAUGGUUAGCAAAUCCCUGAAUUCUGUGUUACAAGUACCUUGAAAACAAUUGAAAAUAAGUCCGAUGCUUUAACUUUUAAGCUUCUCUUAACGUUACUCAUUUCAUAUAUAGAAAAUACUAAGUGAAAACAAACAAUGUUUCUGUUCUCUUAAUAGUGCUGAGCCAUAUGGUUAGAAAUCUAAAUUUAAUCCAGUUGUGAGGAAGUGUAAUCCCCAGUGAACUUAAUCUUGCAUCAGAGUAUCUUCUACACAGAGUAGUUCCUACAAUUCACUGGAUAAGACAGGUUAAUAAUAAAAAGUUUUUGCACUUCAAUUUGGGAAAAUUCUUGACCAAAAGUUAUGGGUAGGAUUUAGCCAUAAGAAAUAUAAACAUAAUAAAUAAAUAAGAAUGUGGAAAAGGGGAAAUUUGUGUGUAGCAUCCUAAAGCAUUAAGCACGUGUCUACUCUGUCUUUGUCUCCUGUGACCAAUUCAAGAUACUUGAGGAGGGUGGAGAGGGGUUGGUGGAAGUAGCACAGAAAUAAUUUGGUACAUCAUGGACUGGGAAGAUGUGUAGUCCUGAUUGCAUAACCAGACCAAACAUUUAGUUUAACUACAGUCCUCAUCUUGGCUCAAACCUGCAAGUGUUAAAGGCAUGAAGUCAAUGCAGUGCCCCUAGUAUCUCCCAUAAUCCUUAAGGAUUCACAGGGUUUUAGGGUCAUGCAGUUUUUUUUUCUUGAAAGGCCCCAAACAGAUGUACCUCUGUUCCCACUGUAAAUUAUAUUUUAAGUUUGUCUGGCAUUGUCGACCAGUGGAUUUUAUGCAACUUUUUUCAGCAAGACUAAAAAGACUUUUUCUACUUAAGAUUUUUAAAUACUGAAGUUUAGAUGCACUUCUUCAUUGGCUUCAGAGUUCUCCACUGAAAACAUUUAAACAGCUGAAACAGUAGUAGACAAAGAGUCAGAAGGGCAAGAGCUAUCCUCAUUUCUUAAUGCUCUGAAGCAUUCAUCUAGGACUAAUGAGGAACUUGCCAGAUGGAAUAUGGCUGAGAUGAUGAAGCAGGUAUUAAGAUUGGUCCAAGAACAAACAGUAUAUAACUAGAGGUAAGUAGCUUUUUACUCUGUGUACCUCUAACUUUACAUACUUUCUCAGACAAGUGCAGGAUCGUCGAUCUCAAAGACCAGGUCACUAGAAGAUUUUAAGAGCUCCUACUUUUUCAGUAGAUGCAUGUUCUUCCCACUAGCACAAAGAGUAGCUCUGUGUCAGAAGUAUUGAGAGGAUAUGUUGAUGUUGCUUCUCAUAUGCAAUGACUCUGCUAUUGUCAAAGUUGUUUACUCUUCAAAUACCAGCAGAUCACCUUCCUUCAGGUUUCUUGUUUUGGGUCCGGCUGCAGGGAACAAGAGCAGUGCAGUUCAGAUCAUGCCCAUUUUCCUCCACAGUGAAUGGCUGGACUCAUUUCAGACUUCAGAGAGUACUAGAUGCAAAGAUAAACUGUGGUUUUCCUUCACAAGGAUGUGCUGUGACUGCGUGCUAUUAAAGUCUGUCGUUUUGGUUCACCCAGUAACACUCAUUCUUGUAGUAGGAUGUGGCUUGAGCUGGCCAGUAAGGUAGCAUAGCAUUUGAUUAAACCUUAAGUCUUACCACUUUUGGCUAAACUAAAAA